AUUGAACGCUGGCGGCAUGCCUUACACAUGCAAGUCGAACGGUAACAGGUUAAGCUGACGAGUGGCGAACGGGUGAGUAAUGUAUCGGAACGUGCCCAGUCGUGGGGGAUAACUGCUCGAAAGAGCAGCUAAUACCGCAUACGACCUGAGGGUGAAAGCGGGGGAUCGCAAGACCUCGCGCGAUUGGAGCGGCCGAUAUCAGAUUAGGUAGUUGGUGAGGUAAAGGCUCACCAAGCCGACGAUCUGUAGCUGGUCUGAGAGGACGACCAGCCACACUGCGACUGAGACACGGCCCAGACUCCUACGGGAGGCAGCAGUGGGGAAUUUUGGACAAUGGGCGCAAGCCUGAUCCAGCCAUGCCGCGUGCGGGAAGAAGGCCUUCGGGUUGUAAACCGCUUUUGUCAGGGAAGAAAAGGUUCUGGCUAAUACCUGGGACUCAUGACGGUACCUGAAGAAUAAGCACCGGCUAACUACGUG
rnacentral:rRNA from 1 species